UCUAUUAUGGCAGAUUAGUGCAAUGAAUUUAAGAUUCAUAUAUAAAAUAUUUAUUUUUAAUAGAA
rnacentral:tRNA from 1 species